GAUGAACGCUGGCGGCGUGCCUAAUACAUGCAAGUCGAGCGAACAGACGAGGAGCUUGCUCCUCUGACGUUAGCGGCGGACGGGUGAGUAACACGUGGAUAACCUACCUAUAAGACUGGGAUAACUUCGGGAAACCCGAGCUAAUACCGGAUAAUAUAUUGAACCGCAUGGUUCAAUAGUGAAAGACGGUUUUGCUGUCACUUAUAGAUGGAUCCGCGCCGCAUUAGCUAGUUGGUAAGGUAACGGCUUACCAAGGCGACGAUGCGUAGCCGACCUGAGAGGGUGAUCGGCCACACUGGAACUGAGACACGGUCCAGACUCCUACGGGAGGCAGCAGUAGGGAAUCUUCCGCAAUGGGCGAAAGCCUGACGGAGCAACGCCGCGUGAGUGAUGAAGGUCUUCGGAUCGUAAAACUCUGUUAUUAGGGAAGAACAAAUGUGUAAGUAACUAUGCACGUCUUGACGGUACCUAAUCAGAAAGCCACGGCUAACUACGUG
rnacentral:rRNA from 1 species